rfam:Mesocricetus auratus contig093910, whole genome shotgun sequence.
UGGUGCCUGAUCUGUCUUCGAUCCUAUGAUUCCCUCUUCCCCCUAUUCUACCCCCACCUCCUCAACUUCCUGUCCCCCAUGUGCAUCCCUCCCGAAGCUGCGCGCUCGGUCGAAGAGGACGACCUUCCCCGAAUAGAGGAGGACCGGUCUUCGGUCAAGGGUAUACGAGUAGCUGCGCUCCCCUGCUAGAACCUCCAAACAAGCUCUCAAGAAAGCUUUUCUUAUUAUGUUCUAGAUACUUCUUGGAUCUCUCUUUAGAAUGAUCAGAUGUAAAAUCAUUUAAGAGUUGGUUUAAUUUCUUUGAGU